CUUGGUCAUUUAGAGGAAGUAAAAGUCGUAACAAGGUCUCCGUUGGUGAACCAGCGGAGGGAUCAUUACAGAGUCGUAAAACACUCCCAACCCAUGUGAACUUACCAUUGUUGCCUCGGCGGACCUACCCGGUAGCUAGCUACCCUGUAGACCGCCGGUGGACCAUUAAACUCUGUUAUUCUAUGGAUAUCUGAGCGUCUUAUUUAAUAAGUUAAAACUUUCAACAACGGAUCUCUUGGUUCUGGCAUCGAUGAAGAACGCAGCGAAAUGCGAUAAGUAAUGUGAAUUGCAGAAUUCAGUGAAUCAUCGAAUCUUUGAACGCACAUUGCGCCCCCUGGUAUUCCGGGGGGCAUGCCUGUUCGAGCGUCAUUACAACCCUCAAGCUCUGCUUGGUAUUGGGCUUCGUCGGUCCCCGGCGUGCCUCAAAGCUAUCGGCGGUGGUGCCCUUCUCUAAGCGUGGUAAAUCUUAUUCGCUUUUGAGUGGUGGCUCCGCCCGCCGGAUAAACCGGGCCUCGCGCCCAUUUUCUCAGGUUGACCUCGGAUCAGGUAGGGAUACCCGCUGAACUUAAGCAUAUCAAUAAGCGGAGGA
rnacentral:rRNA from 1 species